rnacentral:piRNA from 1 species
UCGAACUCAGAAAUCUGCCUGCUCUGCUC